CUGGCGGCGUGCCUAACACAUGCAAGUCGAGCGAGGAGAUUCCUCCGGGAUGAUCCUAGCGGCGGACGGGUGAGUAACACGUGGGCAACCUGCCUCAUAGAGAGGAAUAGCCUUCCGAAAGGGAGAUUAAUACCUCAUAACAUUGCAGUUUCGCAUGGAACAGCAAUUAAAGGAGCAAUCCGCUAUGAGAUGGGCCCGCGGCGCAUUAGCUAGUUGGUGAGGUAACGGCUCACCAAGGCGACGAUGCGUAGCCGACCUGAGAGGGUGAUCGGCCACAUUGGGACUGAGACACGGCCCAGACUCCUACGGGAGGCAGCAGUGGGGAAUAUUGCACAAUGGGGGAAACCCUGAUGCCAGCAACGCCGCGUGAGUGAUGACGGCCUUCGGGUUGUAAAGCUCUGUCUUCAGGGACGAUAAUGACGGUACCUGAGGAGGAAGCCACGGCUAACUACGUGCCAGCCGCCGC
rnacentral:rRNA from 1 species